UAGCUAGUUGGUGAGGUAAGGGCUCACCAAGGCGACGAUCCCUAGCUGGUCUGAGAGGAUGAUCAGCCACACUGGAACUGAGACACGGUCCAGACUCCUACGGGAGGCAGCAGUGGGGAAUAUUGCACAAUGGGCGCAAGCCUGAUGCAGCCAUGCCGCGUGUGUGAAGAAGGCCUUCGGGUUGUAAAGCACUUUCAGUCGUGAGGAAGGUGUGUAGUUAUAGCUGCAUUAUUUGACGUUAGCGACAGAAGCAGCCCGUUAACUCCGUGCCAGCAGCGCGGUAAUACGGAGGGUGCGAGCUUAUCGGAAUUACUGGGCGUAAAGCGCAUGCAGGUGGUUGUUAAGUCAGAUGUGAAAGCCCGGGGCUCAACCUCGGAAUAGCAUUUGAAACUGGCAGACUAGAGUACUGUAGAGGGGGGUAGAAUUUCAGGUGUAGCGGUGAAAUGCGUAGAGAUCUGAAGGAAUACCGGUGGCGAUGGCGGCCCCCUGGACAGAUACUGACACUCAGAUGCGAAAGCGUGGGGAGCAAACAGGAUUAGAUACCCUGGUAGUCCACGCCGUAAACGAUGUCUACUUGGAGGUUGUGCGCCUUGAGCCGUGGCUUUCGGAGCUAACGCGUUAAGUAGACCGCCUGGGGAGUACGGUCGCAAGAUUAAAACUCAAAUGAAUUGACGGGGGCCCGCACAAGCGGUGGAGCAUGUGGUUUAAUUCGAUGCAACGCGAAGAACCUUACCUACUCUUGACAUCCAGAGAACUUUCCAGAGAUGGAUUGGUGCCUUCGGGAACUCUGAGACAGGUGCUGCAUGGCUGUCGUCAGCUCGUGUUGUGAAAUGUUGGG
rnacentral:rRNA from 1 species